AUACCUCAUUUCACAUUCUCAGCUGAGACAAACAACAUCUAUUCAGUAAAAGUAACUUUUCCAUAUUAUUAUCCAAACAAUGUAUCUCAAAUUUUUCUCAAACCGUGCAGAUUCUUUUGACCAUGGUUAUAAAUUCAAAAUUCAAGAUGAAGUAACAAUAUUUGACCUAAAAUAAAAUUUAGAAAAGAAAGAUCUAAUGCAGCUGAGAAAUAGACGCAGAGUGCAGCAUCCAGAGCGGCAUCAUCACAGAGAGCUUCAGCAUUGGCGAAAGAAAGUUCCUUCCAUCCUUCACUGGCUGCAGUGAGAUCCUCAAUAUUUUAGAGAAACAAAAUUGCCCGUUAGACAGUUUCACCUGGGUUGUGAUUAGCCAAGUCAUAUUGCAGCAAGAAUUAAAAAAAAAAGGCCGUGGGCGAAGCCUAUCUACAUAUAUUUACGGAUGUAUUCUGUAACUAAGACGCUAUAUUAAUUACACUACAAAAUUUCCCUUUAGUAUCAAAAUUCCUUUUCCGUCUGAUUCAUGUUCAAAAAA